rnacentral:rRNA from 1 species
GGGGAAUCUGCCUUUGAGCGGGGGACAACAUUUGGAAACGAAUGCUAAUACCGCAUAAAAACUUUAAACACAAGUUUUAAGUUUGAAAGAUGCAAUUGCAUCACUCAAAGAUGAUCCCGCGUUGUAUUAGCUAGUUGGUGAGGUAAAGGCUCACCAAGGCGAUGAUACAUAGCCGACCUGAGAGGGUGAUCGGCCACAUUGGGACUGAGACACGGCCCAAACUCCUACGGGAGGCAGCAGUAGGGAAUCUUCGGCAAUGGACGAAAGUCUGACCGAGCAACGCCGCGUGAGUGAAGAAGGUUUUCGGAUCGUAAAACUCUGUUGGUAGAGAAGAACGUUGGUGAGAGUGGAAAGCUCAUCAAGUGACGGUAACUACCCAGAAAGGGACGGCUAACUACGUGCCAGCAGCCGCGGUAAUACGUAGGUCCCGAGCGUUGUCCGGAUUUAUUGGGCGUAAAGCGAGCGCAGGUGGUUUAUUAAGUCUGGUGUAAAAGGCAGUGGCUCAACCAUUGUAUGCAUUGGAAACUGGUAGACUUGAGUGCAGGAGAGGAGAGUGGAAUUCCAUGUGUAGCGGUGAAAUGCGUAGAUAUAUGGAGGAACACCGGUGGCGAAAGCGGCUCUCUGGCCUGUAACUGACACUGAGGCUCGAAAGCGUGGGGAGCAAACAGGAUUAGAUACCCUGGUAGUCC